CGCUCUAAGCACUUUACUUAAAGCACCGCCUGCUCAAUGAAUUAAAUAGCCGCAGAAUUUUUUACUGUGCUAAGGUAGCAUAAUCACUUGUCUUUUAAUUAAAGAAUAGAAUGAACGGAAAACCGAAUUUUAGACUGUUUCAUUUUCAUAUAAUAAAAUUACAAAAAAGUAAAAACUCUUUUUUAAAAAAAAAGACGACAAGACCCUAAGAACUUUACUAAAGUUAAGCUGGGGCGGCUUUUUAAAAAAAUCUUAUACCAAUUCUCCUAACCUUAAAUUUACUCCAAGUUACCCUAGGGAUAACAGCAUAAUUAAAUUUUUCAGCUCUUAUUUCAAAUUUAGAUUAUGACCUCGAUGUUGAAUUAAGCCUCUUUUAAAAGUAAAAAAUUAAAAAUGAAAGUCUGUUCGACUUAUAAUUACUUACAUGAUUUGAGUUCAGACCGGUGUAAACCAGGUCGGUUUCUAUCUUUUCAUAAUAACUAGCCAGUACGAAAGGACCCCUAGAUAAAUUAAAAAU
rnacentral:rRNA from 1 species